UUCGCCAAAGCCAUAUCACCCUGCAGUUCUGGCUUGGUUUUACACUGAAGCUAAGCAGGGUUGAGUCUGGCCAGCACCUGGAUCGGAGACCGUCUGAGGAAAAGUAAGGUUGCUGCUGAAA
rnacentral:rRNA from 1 species